rnacentral:rRNA from 1 species
AACGUAGGACGCAAGCGUUAUCCGGAGUUACUGGGCGUAAAGCGCGGGCAGGCGGUUCUGCCAGUCUGAUGUGAAAUCUCUCAGCUCAACUGGGAGCAGCCAUUGGAAACUACAGAACUGGAGUCUGACAGAGGUAGGCGGAAUUCCGGGUGGAGUGGUGAAAUGCGUAGAGAUCCGGAGGAACACCAGAGGCGAAGGCGGCCUACUGGGUCAGUACUGACGCUGAGCCGCGAAAGCCAGGGGAGCGAACAGG